rnacentral:rRNA from 1 species
GUAGGGAAUAUUGGUCAAUGGACGAAAGUCUGAACCAGCCAUUCCGCGUGCAGGAAGAAGAUUCUAUGGAUUGUAAACUGCUUUUAGCAGAGAAGAAACGCCUUCAUUGAUGAGGGUUUGACGGUAUCUGCGGAAUAAGCACCGGCUAACUCCGUGCCAGCAGCCGCGGUAAUACGGGGGGUGCAAGCGUUAUCCGGAAUCACUGGGUUUAAAGGGUGCGUAGGCGGGAAAUUAAGUCAGUGGUGAAAGUCUGUUGCUUAACGAUAGAAUGGCCGUUGAUACUGAUUUUCUUGAAUUGGGUUGAGGUUAGCGGAAUGUGACAUGUAGCGGUGAAAUGCAUAGAUAUGUCAUGGAACACCAAUUGCGAAGGCAGCUAGCUGGGCCUUGAUUGACGCUGAGGCACGAAAGCGUGGGUAGCGAACAGGAUUAGAUACCCUUGUAGUCC